GAGUGUUCUUUUCAUUCAUUACAGGUUCAACAUCAACAAAGCAUCGCUCUUUCACUCCAGUUAGCAAGAGGUAAAUACACUUUUCCUUUAAUGCUUUGUUAGAUAUAGAUUAGGUUGGGAGUUUAAUGGUUUUUGUUAGUUGUGUUGAUGUUAUUUACAUUUAGUUUUGCGUGGUUCUGAUAUAUAUUUAGGUGAAAACAUUCAUUGUCAUUAAGACUUAAAUUAAGUGACUGCAACUACUAAAAACAACAAUUGCCUUUAAAAUCCAAACAAUAGGCUUAAACAACAACACGUUUAAACAACUGAAGCUCUUCUCCUUUUCUUUUUCCUGCGAAUUCAUAAACAAUUUUAUGGAUUCAUUUUCUCAAUCUUAUAGCUUUAUAGAUCUCUUAAACACUCAAAACCAAAACACUCAACCUAGUUUUGAACCCUCUGCCUCGAAUGUCUCUUUCUUUGGUACAUAAUGGGCUGAUGAUGCAAACUUGGAAGCUCACACUGUGGAAGACCGCAAAGAGAGACGGAAGUGGACACCAACAGAGGACGUGGUGCUCAUCAGCGCUUGGCUGAACACUUCAAAGGACCCGGUUGUUGGUAAUGAACAAAAAGCAAUUGCUUUUUGGAUCUUGUGUCUUCUCUCGCUUGGUUUAUGGUUUUAUGGUUAAAUAAAAAAUAAGCUUGUCUUAUGGUUUAUGGUUAAAUAAGCUUGUCUUAUGGUCUUGCUCUAUUUGGAUCUUGUGUCGCUUAUGGUAUCUUCUUUCUUCUGCAGGUCGAGCCAAGGUGACAUAAGAAGACAGCAGAGAUGACUUGUGAUAUAAGAUGACAACAGCGUGUUGGUCUCGUGACACAAGAAGACACAAGAAGACAUGUUCUGUUGGUGGUCUCGUGACACAAGAAGACAUGUUACGUUGGUGGUCUCGUGACACAAGAAGACUAUCAUGUUGUUGUCUUGUUAGCUUUGUGAGUUGUGAGAUUGCUUGUGACACAAAAAGACAAUAUCUUCUUCAUGUGUUGAUUAAUAAUUAUGUA
rnacentral:lncRNA from 1 species